CAAUAGCGUAUAUUAAAGUUGUUGCGGUUAAAAAGCUCGUAGUUGGAGUUCUGCCAGGUGCCGCCUGUCCGCCCCAGUGGUGAGUACGUGGCGCGCAUUUGGCCCUUUCAAGGGGAGCGUAUCUGCACUUUAUUGUGUGGUGCGGGAUCCUUGACUUUUACUUUGAGGAAAUAGGAGUGUUCCAAGCAGGCUCUCGUCGUGCACAGCUCAGCAUGGAAUAAUAGCAUUGGACCUCGAUUCUAAGCUGUUGGUUGCCAGAAGCGAGGUAAUGAUGAAGAGGGAUAGUUGGGGGCAUUCGUAUUUAACUGUCAGAGGUGAAAUUCUUGGAUUUGUUAAAGGCGGACUACUGCGAAAGCAUUUGCCAAGGAUGUUUUCAUUGA
rnacentral:rRNA from 1 species